GGAGAGCUGAUGUGAGAGUUGAAGUUGGUAAAGCAAGAAGCAAAUGUAAGGGGAAGAGGACUUGAAGCCUUUGAUUCUAUAAAAAUAUUAUUGCUGCUUCAA